rnacentral:rRNA from 1 species
GUGGGGAAUCUUAGACAAUGGGGGAAACCCUGAUCUAGCCAUGCCGCGUGAUCGAUGAAGGCCUUAGGGUUGUAAAGAUCUUUCAGCUGGGAAGAUAAUGACGGUACCAGCAGAAGAAGCCCCGGCUAACUCCGUGCCAGCAGCCGCGGUAAUACGGAGGGGGCUAGCGUUGUUCGGAAUUACUGGGCGUAAAGCGCACGUAGGCGGAUUGGAAAGUUGGGGGUGAAAUCCCGGGGCUCAACCCCGGAACUGCCUUCAAAACUCCCAGUCUUGAGGUCGAGAGAGGUGAGUGGAAUUCCGAGUGUAGAGGUGAAAUUCGUAGAUAUUCGGAGGAACACCAGUGGCGAAGGCGGCUCACUGGCUCGAUACUGACGCUGAGGUGCGAAAGCGUGGGGAGUAAACAGGAUUAGAUACCCGGGUAGUCC